CUGACAGCGGCCGCCGGCGGCGGGAGGGGAGGACGGGCAGGAGGAGGAGAAGCAGCAGGAGGAGGAGCCCCGCGCAGGCGCCCACGUUCUUAUAGCCUUGAUCUCAAAGGAUUUCCCAGCAUGACUCAGCUAAAUCUUAAAAGAAGUAAAGGAAGUUUAGCAGCAGUUUUCAGUCAGAGGAAAAGGUCUUGCAGCAGAGAGCCAGCAGAGACCAGGAGUCCUGAAUUCCAGUCCUGGUGGUGUGAAUGUUAGACAAGUGCAGUGCUAAGGAAGCAGUGACACAGGUGAAGCCCAGGGAAGCAGAAUUCACACGCAUCUUUAAGGAGAGACUCAGUGGUGCAGGACAGCGAGCCUUGGCUUCAUUCCAAAGGCAAGUAAACAGCCUUGUCCUGCUCACAAAAGAGAAGAGGAAAACCAAAAUUUAUUUCUUGCACUUUAUAUAUUUCUAGGUUCACCAGAUUUUGUCUACUGUUUUUCUCACUUUUUUUUUUAUUGUUUAAAAUAAAGUGUUCAGUUUCCUGAUUUUUAAAUGUU